rnacentral:tRNA from 1 species
GCCUGGUUGGCUCAGUCGGUUGAGGGCCCGACUUUGGCUCAGGUCACGAUCUCGCGGUUUGUGAGUUCGAGCCCCGCAUCGGGCU